CCUACGGGGGGCAGCAGUGGGGGAUAUUGGACAAUGGGGGAAACCCUGAUCCAGCGACGCCGCGUGAGUGAAGAAGUAUUUCGGUAUGUAAAGCUCUGUCAGCAGGGAAGAAAGAAAUGACGGUACCUGACCAAGAAGCCUCGGCUAACUACGUGCCAGCAGCCGCGGUAAUACGUAGGGGGCAAGCGUUAUCCGGAAUUACUGGGUGUAAAGGGAGCGUAGACGGUGAUGCAAGUCUGGAGUGAAAGGCGGGGGCCCAACCCUCGGACUGCUCUGGACACUGGGUGACUUGAGUGCAGGGGAGGUAAGCGGAAUUCGUAGUGUAGCGGUGAAAUGCGUAGAUAUUAGGAAGAACACCAGUUGCGAAGGCAGCUUACUGGACUGUAACUGACGUUGAGGCUCGAAAGCGUGGGGAGCAAACAGGAUUAGAUACCCGAGUAGUC
rnacentral:rRNA from 1 species